UACAGAGGGUGCAAGCGUUAAUCGGAAUGACUGGGCGUAAAGGGCGCGUAGGUGGGUGGAUAAGUCGUCGGUGAAAGCCCUGGGCUCAACCUAGGAAUGGCCGAUGAUACUGUUUGUCUAGAGUGAAGUAGAGGGUAGCGGAAUUUCCGGUGUAGCGGUGAAAUGCGUAGAUAUCGGAAAGAACACCAGUGGCGAAGGCGGCUACCUGGACUUUGACUGACACUGAGGCGCGAAAGCGUGGGGAGCGAACAGG
rnacentral:rRNA from 1 species